GACCCUGUAGCUUAACUGGUUGAGCGUGCGGCUGUUAACCGCAAGGUCGGAGGUUCGAGUCCUCCCAGGGUCG
rnacentral:tRNA from 1 species